GAUGAACGCUGGCGGCGUGCCUAAUACAUGCCAGUCGAGCGAACAGACGAGGAGCUUGCUCCUCUGACGUUAGCGGCGGACGGGUGAGUAACACGUGGAUAACCUACCUAUAAGACUGGGAUAACUUCGGGAAACCGGAGCUAAUACCGGAUAAUAUAUUGAACCGCAUGGUUCAAUAGUGAAAGACGGUUUUGCUGUCACUUAUAGAUGGAUCCGCGCCGCAUUAGCUAGUUGGUAAGGUAACGGCUUACCAAGGCAACGAUGCGUAGCCAACCUGAGAGGGUGAUCGGCCACACUGGAACUGAGACACGGUCCAGACUCCUACGGGAGGCAGCAGUAGGGAAUCUUCCGCAAUGGGCGAAAGCCUGACGGAGCAACGCCGCGUGAGUGAUGAAGGUCUUCGGAUCGUAAAACUCUGUUAUUAGGGAAGAACAAAUGUGUAAGUAACUAUGCACGUCUUGACGGUACCUAAUCAGAAAGCCACGGCUAACUACGUG
rnacentral:rRNA from 1 species